UGAUGCCAUUGGUGGUUUUCGGUACGUGAUUUUCUCGCGGAUCCGACUACGGUUGGCACCGAUCGAUCGUUAGAGGGUUGCCAUUAUAUGUUUUUUAUUGGUAUUUUUUGGUCGUGCAGUAACCUGUGGAUGACCACGCCUAUCCGAGUUAGACUUCGGCUAUCAAUCCAGGAGAAAUGGAGCGCGACAUCUGCUCUGGCAGACACGAAGAAAAUGGAUGAUUCAGGACAGAUCCUCAGACACAUCACGACUUCAACUCUGACAGCCUGUCAAUCAUAUUGACGCUGUCAAUAGAAACACGGCAGUCCACGGACAAGUUCAAACAUCCUUUAACACUAUUCAAAAACGCAAUUAAUUAAGUCCACUAACACGCAUCCCUUUGGCUCCGAGAAGAAAUCGAAUCGAAAAAAAAUAAAAUAAUACAGUUUUAUUGGGCAAUAAAAGCUCGGGCCGGCUCCCCUUUGCUAAAACCAGAGCUUCCUAGAAAGCUUAAUAAGAUAUGUUUUACAAUUUAUUUAUUUUACUUAGAAUUCGUCGGAUUUUAUUUUUAUUGUUUUAUUAAAAUUAAUUGUUUGUUUGAAAAUGUUCUGGGCUAUAUAUAUCAAGUUCGGCGUCGUAAAGAUUGAUAGGGCCUCUUAUAAUGGCUGAGACCGUAAUGCAAUCGUCAGUUUCAAUUGAAUUCAAUUAUGAAAUCUAAA